rnacentral:rRNA from 1 species
CAUCUAAGUACCCCGAGGAAAAGAAAUCAACCGAGAUUCCCCCAGUAGCGGCGAGCGAACGGGGAGCAGCCCAGAGCCUGAAUCAGUGUGUGUGUUAGUGGAAGCGUCUGGAAAGGCGCGCGAUACAGGGUGACAGCCCCGUACACAAAAAUGCACAUACUGUGAGCUCGAUGAGUAGGGCGGGACACGUGGUAUCCUGUCUGAAUAUGGGGGGACCAUCCUCCAAGGCUAAAUACUCCUGACUGACCGAUAGUGAACCAGUACCGUGAGGGAAAGGCGAAAAGAACCCCGGCGAGGGGAGUGAAAAAGAACCUGAAACCGUGUACGUACAAGCAGUGGGAGCACAGAGCAAUCUGUGUGACUGCGUACCUUUUGUAUAAUGGGUCAGCGACUUAUAUUCUGUAGCAAGGUUAACCGAAUAGGGGAGCCGAAGGGAAACCGAGUCUUAACUGGGCGUUAAGUUGCAGGGUAUAGACCCGAAACCCGGUGAUCUAGCCAUGGGCAGGUUGAAGGUUGGGUAACACUAACUGGAGGACCGAACCGACUAAUGUUGAAAAAUUAGCGGAUGACUUGUGGCUGGGGGUGAAAGGCCAAUCAAACCGGGAGAUAGCUGGUUCUCCCCGAAAGCUAUUUAGGUAGCGCCUCGUGAAUUCAUCUCCGGGGGUAGAGCACUGUUUCGGCAAGGGGGUCAUCCCGACUUACCAACCCGAUGCAAACUGCGAAUACCGGAGAAUGUUAUCACGGGAGACACACGGCGGGUGCUAACGUCCGUCGUGAAGAGGGAAACAACCCAGACCGCCAGCUAAGGUCCCAAAGUCAUGGUUAAGUGGGAAACGAUGUGGGAAGGCCCAGACAGCCAGGAUGUUGGCUUAGAAGCAGCCAUCAUUUAAAGAAAGCGUAAUAGCUCACUGGUCGAGUCGGCCUGCGCGGAAGAUGUAACGGGGCUAAACCAUGCAC